UACGUAGGGUGCGAGCGUUGUCCGGAAUUAUUGGGCGUAAAGAGCUUGUAGGUGGUUUGUCGCGUCUGCUGUGAAAACGCGAGGCUCAACCUCGCGCCUGCAGUGGGUACGGGCAGACUAGAGUGAUGUAGGGGAGACUGGAAUUCCUGGUGUAGCGGUGAAGUGCGCAGAUAUCAGGAGGAACACCGAUGGCGAAGGCAGGUCUCUGGGCAUUAACUGACGCUGAGGAGCGAAAGCAUGGGGAGCGAACAGG
rnacentral:rRNA from 1 species